rnacentral:rRNA from 1 species
AUGGCACCCAAGGCGGAGAAGAAGCCGGCGCCGGAGAAGACCCCGGCGGGGAAGAAGCCGGCGGCGGAGAAGAGGCCCGCGGCCGGGAAGACGGCGUCCAAGGAGGGCGGCGAGAAGAAGGGGAAGAAGAAGGCCAAGAAGAGCGUGGAGACGUACAAGAUCUACAUCUUCAAGGUGCUCAAGCAGGUGCACCCCGACAUCGGCAUCUCCUCCAAGGCCAUGUCCAUCAUGAACUCCUUCAUCAACGACAUCUUCGAGAAGCUCGCCGGCGAGUCCGCCAAGCUGGCCCGCUACAACAAGAAGCCCACCAUCACCUCCCGGGAGAUCCAGACCUCCGUCCGCCUCGUCCUCCCCGGCGAGCUCGCCAAGCACGCCGUCUCCGAGGGCACCAAGGCCGUCACCAAGUUCACCUCAGCCUAG